CCGAGUUAGGGUGUCGCCUCGGCGCGCCCGACCUCCCAACCCUGUGUCUACUUAACCUAUUGUUGCUUCGGCAGGCCCGCCCUUUCUCACGAACGGGCCGCCGGGGGUGGAUGUUCUCCCCCCUGGUCAGUCGCCUGCCGAUGGCCUCAACCAUAAAAACUCUUGUGAACAACCGUGUCGUCUGAGUAUUUAUCAUAAAUAAAACCAA
rnacentral:misc_RNA from 1 species